rnacentral:lncRNA from 1 species
CAAUGACCUAAACAUCCCUGACUGUAUUUUCCAGUGAGUAUGGGUUAAGAUGAUGAGGAUGCUAAGAUACACUGGAACAAACCCUCAUCCUGGACCAGUCGUAGAAGCAAGUGUGAAAAACAGCGAUGUGGAGACGCAUUCUUUACUGCUAUUCUCAGCCUCUCGUGAGCCUGCACAGAGACUACUGGCCCUCACUUUCCAUCAAGAACCAAUUGGCCAAAGAUCUUUCUGCAUCAGGACCGCAAGUCUCUGAAACUGCCAUGAUG